CUGAUGUGAGAUCCCGGGCUGCGUGCUCAGCAUCAUCUAGCAGUUAAUUUCUUCCAUUUGGUGGUGGUCGUGGCCUCUGAAAAGCUCGGGGAAUGUGAACAAGAUACUGCUCUCUGUGUGCGUCGGAGAAGAGCUACCGCGGAGGGUGAGGGAGAGGGGUCUGUCUUGGGAGGGCCCCCCCGGCUGCCUGGCUACAGGUCUGCUUCCGAUUUUCAGUGCUGAGAUGUGGGAGAGCAAAGGAUGCACACAGUAAGGGGAAAAAAAAACUAUAUUUUUACAGUUUCUGACCCCUUAGAGGAACAGCUGACCUUGUACCACUCACAACAGACGUCAGCUCAGGCCACCACGCCAGUAUCUGCCUCCUCCACAGUCUGGUUCUCCUUUCCUAACGCCUUUCCUGUUGCCUCCUCGCUUUUCACGCUGGCAUGAAACUCCAUGACUGUUUCCAGCCAGAAGAAACACUCUUCCCUCCAAAAGGUCAGGACUCUCUGGUGGCCAGACAUGACUCCAAAUAGCUGAGGAAAAGGGGGGCUGAGGGGUGUUUCAAGGCAUCACCAAUAUCCUCCUUCACAUCCCAAACGCCAGGGGUGCUCCCUCCCCAGACACCAGGGGUGCUCCCCUCCCAAAUGCCUGGAGCACCGAGGCAGCCCCUCAAGGAGCUGUGUCGGCCCAGGAGAGCUUCCUCGUGGGAAGCCAGGCCUUUCCCAGGCCCACAUCCAGGGACAGGCCCUCCAGAGCCACAGAGAUCCAUAUUCUCACCCUAGAUUCAGAAGGACGGCGACUCUAGCUGUCCAGCUCCGAGGCCUGGCCCGGCUGUCCUGAGGCCCCUCCCCGCACCCGAUCCUGCCCUCUUUCCACAAGCGCUGACACCAAGACUCUCCUUAAUGGUCCACCUGCCCGCAAACCCAUCUUCAUCCUGGCCAGGGCAGGGGACUUACUGGCUCUGGCAACCAAAUCGUCAGUGGAGCAGCAGUGCCGCAGCCCGGGGCAUCUGGACCGGGAGCUGGAUCAGGGGUUCAACCAGAGACCUGCUCCACGCUGGCUUCACCCUGGCCACUCACACAGGGGAGAAGACAGACUUCUGUCGCCGCCUGCUGAAGGCAGAUGCUGGGAAGGGGCCGGAACUGGCCUUGUGUGGGUCAGGCCACAGAAGACCGAGGAGCAGCUGGGAUUUACCAAACGUUGGCUGUGCCAGUUAAACUGCUAGAGUGGAGCGAUGUUACUGAGUGCAGGUACAGGCCCUGCUCUUAAGGCAUGCUCCACCUAGCAGAGGAGGCAAACACGUAAGAAAUUGAGAUGUGUUAAGAGCAGCAGUAAAGGCACAGGAAUUCAUUCAGGAUAUGCAACAAUGCUUUCCACUCGACAACAAGAAGACAGAAGGUUCGGUUUAGAAACAACGGGCAAAGAACUUGAACAGACACUCCCCGCAAAGAAGAUACACGAAUGGCCAACAAGCCCACGAGGAGAUGCUCAGCAUCACUAGUCAGGAGGGGGAUGCAGGUCCCCUUUCCACACACGAGCUCACCCCCAUCGGAACGGCUGCGCGCUGGACAGCAAAACGAAGAAUGCGGAGAAAUGACCCUAUGACCCUAUGACCCAGCAACUCCCCUCAAGGUAUAGACCCCAAAGAUCUGCAAGCAGGGACGCAAAUGUGCAUCUGCGCCUCACUGCAGCACUAUUCCCAGAGCCAAAAGGGAAGCCAAGCAUCCAUCACGGGCUGAAUGGAGAGUGCCCUGGUGGCCUAGUGUUUAAGGAUUUGGUGUCGUCACUGCUGUGACUCAGGCUCAAUUUCUGGUCCGGGAACUUCCAUGUGCUGCAGGCAUGGCUGAAAAAAGAAGAAAAACAAACAAAAAGGGAUAAACGUAAAACAGAUGGGGGCCUAUACAUGCUAUGGAAGCGUCAUCCGUAAAAAGGAACGAAGCAGCGAUACACGCGCCAAAACUUUAUACCAAGUGAAAGCAGAUCUACCCAAACUGUCACUGUUGUGUGAUUCCAUUUGUAUGAAAUGUCUAGAAUUAGGCGAAUCCACCGAAACAGGUGGUUGCCAGGGGCUGGGGCUGGGGAUUGGGGAGUAACUGCUUUUGGGGGGUUAUUCUGGGGUGAUGAACGAGUUUUGGAACUAGGUAGAGGUGGUGGUCGCACAAUAUCGUCGUGGUUCUAAAUGCCACUGAACUGCUCCCUUUAAAAUGCUUGAUUUUAUGUGACGUGAAUUUCGCCUCCAUGAAAUACAAACCAGAAACGCCCAUGCAGUGGCCCCUAAGUUCCAGGAAGCACAGGGGCAGUCAGGCCCGGGGAGGCGGGGUGAUGGAGGGCUUCGUGGGGUCAGGGGAGCGUUUCUGGGCACAGGUUGCCUCUGGGGAGAUGCCGGGUCAGAGCGAGGGAGCUGAGCACAGCUGUGUGCAGGGCCCCAGAGUUCCGUUUCCUGCUCGUUUACCAGGAGGCUGGGGCUUGUCUCCAGGGAGAGGGCCUUCCCCGCAGGCUCAGCCCCCAGCCCGCUGUGCUUGCUGGAGCUGUGGGUUUAGAGGCAAGAGGAAGGGCUGUUCUCCAGGGCGGUGGCUGCCACCUGUCCCACCCCUGCGGCCACACAGCAUCCUGUGGGGCAGCACGUUUCCCAGGCAGGACAAAGCUGCCCUGUGUGGUGGAGGCAGCUACGGAGCUCAUUCUCCGCCCCGCAAGGCAGGAAGGUUUCUUUCCGUUGCGCUGAGCACAGGCGUUUGUGUCUGAAGGGCCCUGGGCAACGGUGUGGUGUGCACUCGGGUCUGGCCGCGCCUGCGGAGAGCCAGGUGUGGGAGGCGAGGGGCUGCCCCUGGAGUCCCAGAGGUGGACUCCGACGGCAGGUGCAGGUCCUGGGGUGAAGGCAUGUGGUACCCUGCAGUUGGGUCAGCAGGAAGUCAGGCAGCGCCAUCCCCCGCUUCCCCUUACUCGGGGCGUUUCUUCCCUGUUGAAGGCCCCCUUGCUGACACCCAGCAGACCUUCCUUUUAAUAAACAUCAGACCCAUGGGGUUCCAGCCGUGGAUCAGCUGGUUAAGAACCCAACUAGUAUCCAUGAGGAUGGGGGUUCGAUCCCUGGCCUCACUCAGUGGGUUAAGGAUCCACGUUGCUGUGAGCUAUGGUGUCGGUUGCAGACGUGGCUCGGAUUCCGUGUGGCUGUGGCUGUGGCGUAGGUCAGCAGCUGCAGCUUCGAUUUGACCCCUAGUCUGGGAACUUCCAUAUGCAGCAGGUGUGGCCCUAAAAAACAACAAAAAACCAAAAAAAAAAAACAAAACCCCAGCAGACCCCAGCUUGUCUUCUCCAAGGAUCCUCUUCCCCUUGUUCUGUUCCGCUGUUCCGUUCUUUCAAGGUCUCUGACCCAAUGCAAACCACUACUUUGUGGCCAGUACUGGCUAGCACUUAACACAGGCUGGUUCAUUUCACCCUUGUAAUUACCACGUAAAGCAGGUAUUAAUGGAGUUCCCAUUGUGACCUGGCCGUAAAAAGCCUGACUAGUAUCCAUGAGGACUCGGGUUUGAUCCCUGGCCUCACUCAGUGGGUUAAGGAUCCAGCAUUGCCAUGAGCUGUGGUGUAGGUCGCAGACUGUGGCUUGGAUCCUGUGUUGCUCUGGCUGUGGUGUAGGCCGGCAGCUGCAGCUCUGAUUUGACCCAUAGCCUGGGAACUUCCACAUGCCGUAGGUGUGGCCCUGAAAAGACCAAAAAAAAAAAAAAAAAGGCAGGUAUUACUAUGUCUGCUUUACCAAUAAGGACAUAGAUUGGGAUUGAGCCAAGGUAAACAGCUGGUUAGUGGCAGGAUAGGAUUCAACGUCUAAAUUUAAUGUCAAUAAAACGACCUCCACUAGGAAGCCGGUUAUGGGAGAAACCAUCCCUUUCGAAUGAUUGGCGCAGUGUCUCCACAGAGUGAAAAUGAGAUUCUUGUGGCGGCAGCAGUGAAUCUGCAGAGAGAUGGGAGGUAUUUGGACACACAUUUUGUACAGGGAGGAGGGCUUUCCAUGACCCCAGAUCGCCACACAGGGCGGCCUGGACUGUGUUUACCACAAGCUGUGACUUGACAGCUUAUUGAAUGAAUGGUGCAGGGCGGGAUUAGCGCUUGGGAUCACACACAGGGGACUGAGUGAGCGCGGGUGCCCAGAGGCACUUCCUCCACCGCCCUAAUUUAUAUCCUGGCAAAAGAGUCAGGAGUAGGACUCGCCUGAGGCCUCCGGUGCUGGGAUGCUCUUCCCAACCCACGGCCAGCGCUCUGCUCCCUGGGAAGCCCCCAGGCCCCCCCAGCACGAGUGACCCCUUUUGUGUUAUAUCCUCCGCUAGACAGUGAGGUCCUUUGCUCAGGGGCUGUGUUUGGGUCAUUGUCCUGUCUGUGCUCUUUUGGGGGGAAAAGGAGAAAGAGGAAGGAAGGAAGGCAAGUUUCCAGAAGGGUUAUUUACAGUUCAUUAUAAAAAGACAGGCAAGUGGUGAUCAUCCUGAAAUGUGUAAAAUCACAGAAUCACGGAGUUGUACACUGGACACUAAUAUAUUCAAGUCCAUUGCACUUCAGUUAGACAACGGGCAAAGGACUUGGACAGACGUUUCUCCAGCCACGACGUACCAACAGCCCACAAGCCCAUGAGAGAUGCUCAGCAUCAUGAGUUGUCAGGGAAACAGAGGCAAAUCAACAUCGCAUCAGACCUGCAACGUUGGCCAGCGUUGCACCAAGUGUCGGUGAGGCCGGAGAAAUCAGGGCCCCUCACACAUGCCUGGGGAGUUACAAAGGCAGCAGCCCCGUUGGAAAUCAGUCUGACCACGGCUCAAACGAGUGCCCUUGGGGAGUGGAGUGACUUACGCGCACAGUUGUCCUGUGACCCCGCAAGUCCACUCUACAUCCAUGAGAAGGGACAACACAUGUUCACUCAGACUUGUACAAGAGCGUGCACAGCAGCACUAACUAGAACGCCCCGAAGGCGAAAACAACCCAAACGUCUACCGGCUGAUGGAUGGAAAAGAAACGUGCUUGAUCCACACAGCGGACCGUUACUGGUCACAGAAAGGACUGAAGUGCUGACACGUGCUCCAACACGGACGGACCUUGGAAGCCUUGGGCCACGUGCAAGAAGCAGUCACGGAAGACCACUCGGUAUGAUUCCGUUGAUACGCAGCGUCCAGAAAUGGCAAGUCCAUAGCGAUGGAGGGCAAAUGAGUAGGCGCCAGAGGCUGG
rnacentral:lncRNA from 1 species